GAUGAACGCUAGCGGCAGGCCUAACACAUGCAAGUCGAGGGGCAGCACAGAAACAGCAAUGUUUUGGUGGCGACCGGCGGACGGGUGCGUAACGCGUAUGCAACCUACCUUUAACAGGGGGAUAACGGAGAGAAAUUUCCACUAAUACCCCAUAACAUCGAUCAAGGCAUCUUGAUUGGUUGAAAAUUCCGGUGGUUAAAGAUGGGCAUGCGUUGUAUUAGGUAGUUGGUGAGGUAAUGGCUCACCAAGCCUACGAUACAUAGGGGGACUGAGAGGUUAGCCCCCCACACUGGUACUGAGACACGGACCAGACUCCUACGGGAGGCAGCAGUGAGGAAUAUUGGUCAAUGGGGGCAACCCUGAACCAGCCAUGCCGCGUGCAGGAAGACGGCUCUAUGAGUUGUAAACUGCUUUUAAACAGGGAUAAAGCACAGUAUGUAUACUGUGUUGAAGGUACUGUAAGAAUAAGGAUCGGCUAACUCCGUGCCAGCCGCCGCGGUAA
rnacentral:rRNA from 1 species